GCCUUAUAACAUGUCUUUAUAACUGGCUGUGUAAGAAUGAAGAAAAGCUGUCCAUCUUCUGAGAAGCCCACUUCUCCACCAAGGUGCUCAGUUUUAGGAGUGGAGAACAGGGGCCACGGAAAAUACAUUGCUCCCCAGCUCCCAGCUCUCUUUACUUUCUCCCAGGAAGCAGCAUGUGCCAUCCUUCUGUCAGAAAACACCAAAGAGAUGAAGAAAUGAGAAAUCCAGAAACCAAAGACCUUGCUCUUUUGUCAAACAGACUUGGUAGAGCAGAGUUGCAAAAUCAGACCUUUGGGGGCUUGCGUGUUUCUCCUCUUACUCCCUGGUGUAGAAGCCCUGCCUUGAACUUCAGGCUGCCUGGCUUGGAUCCUGAUGCUGCUUUGCUGACACAAUCCAUUCUCCCAGGGAACACCCAGAGUUCCACUCCAGCCCUGGCAACGCUGCAGCAGAGGCCAACUGUACGGAAAGUCUACAUUGGCUCGGAACAAUUGAGGCUGGGAGAGGGUAUCACAGCAAUUUCCCCACAUCCAUUCCAGCUGGUGAUUUCCUGCUUGGUCGUCUUUUAAAACCCAGCCAUCUGAAUCCGAGAGUUGCUUCUUCAGCAAGGCCUCCCCUGACUCCUUCAGAUGUCUAAGCACCACCCCUACUCUUCUGCUGCAGCAUCUCCACUUGCUUUUGUCCUUCAUCUCCCUGAAAUUAUUUGCUUACUCAUCCAUCCAUGUCAGUUGCAAAAGCAUGACUUCCUCUAGUCCAAAGGCCAUUCAUGUUCAAUAUGUUAGCACUCGGAGCGUCUCCAGUGGUUGUUUCAAACAAGGCAAAUGAGUUCAGUUGAACUUUAUAUGUUCUGCCCUCCGACUGUGACUGUUAUUUACUUCCCUCCAAACAAAAUGUAAUAAUAAAAUGACUAACUGAA
rnacentral:lncRNA from 1 species